AGCGAACGCUGGCGGCAGGCCUAACACAUGCAAGUCGAACGAACUCUUCGGAGUUAGUGGCGGACGGGUGAGUAACACGUGGGAACGUGCCUUUAGGUUCGGAAUAACUCAGGGAAACUUGUGCUAAUACCGAAUGUGCCCUUCGGGGGAAAGAUUUAUCGCCUUUAGAGCGGCCCGCGUCUGAUUAGCUAGUUGGUGAGGUAAAGGCUCACCAAGGCGACGAUCAGUAGCUGGUCUGAGAGGAUGAUCAGCCACAUUGGGACUGAGACACGGCCCAAACUCCUACGGGAGGCAGCAGUGGGGAAUCUUGCGCAAUGGGCGAAAGCCUGACGCAGCCAUGCCGCGUGAAUGAUGAAGGUCUUAGGAUUGUAAAAUUCUUUCACCGGGGACGAUAAUGACGGGACCCGGAGAAGAAGCCCCGGCUAACUGCGU
rnacentral:rRNA from 1 species